rnacentral:tRNA from 1 species
GGGCCUAUAGUCCAGUGGCAGAACACCUCAUUUGCAAUGAGGAGACGUGAGUUCGAUUCUCGCUAGGUCCACCA